CCCUCGGUGGCCGCCGGUGCUCGCUGAGGGGGCGGCGGGGCAGCACCGGGCGGCACCGGGUCGGUUCGGCCUCGUUACCGGGGCUUAAAGAGAGGCACGGCCGGGCCCCUAGGAAGGAGGCUGCAGCCCUCAUGGCUCUGCUAAACUUGCUGCUACAAGUACAGGUUACCCACUGGAAAACCCCUGUGCUUCCUGGGGUUACGGCCGUCCUGACCCACCCGUGACUGUGCCCUCGCUGCAGGGCCACAUCCAUGCCGACGGCAUUACGGAUCCCAAAGCACCAGGAUCCUCCCUUAUGGGACACCCGUUUCAACCUGCUCCUUCACUAGAAGCUUCAGGAUCACUCAUAGCUCUUGGUUUCUACAUCCUCACAAGCACUUCCAUUCUGACUUUCUGUUAAAUAAAUAAAUUAACACUUUAACCACA